AAUUAUUAUAAUUAAUAUAUAUAAUUUAUAUAAAAUACAGUAUAAAUAGAUCUAUAUUUUAUGUUUAUAUUAUGUUACAUAUAUAUAUAUUAUAUCUUAUAUAAAAAAUAUUGAUUGAUUGAGUGCUAAUAUUGUCCAUUAACUUUUCCUCUGUCAAUUGUUACCAACUAUCCGCUAUAUGACUGAACGAUAACAAUAAACAAUUAAAGAAGAAACUUGCCGUAACGCGCGAGUUUCGAACGCUAGUGAACUUCACGAUGGAAAUAUUCAAAUCUUGAUAUCAGCUAUCGUCGAUGAUUAUAACAAGUUCUGAGAAGAAAAAAACGUACGCGAAUAUAAAUUUUGCAUACGCAAACGGUUACAUAAAUGUUGUAAGAGUUCAACUAACAGUUUAUUCGUAAGCUUCGAGAUUAGUAAUAUUUCAUUGCGAAGCAAACGAAGCAAAAAGACGGAGAAUGUCAUCAACGGAAAUAACAUUCCAAGAACUAUUACUGCUGCUACUGACAAUAAUCCAACGUGGAUGGGAAAAGAAAUAUCGCAUAAUUCAGCAAGCGCAAGUGUCUUCGGGGUCUACGCUGUACACCAGAUGCACAGCCGACAUGUUGACCAACUGCUGCAACUACUUGACGAACAUCCACAGAUGAUGCAGCAAUUCUGACCACCGACCAAUAUCCCAAGGUUGCGUCGACAUCAUUGCAACAACACAGGCUAGGUUACAUCCUGACCGCAAGGUAACAUGGAACCAGUAAAUGACAAGGAGACCCAACAAAUUCGAUUCAGGAGGAAAGCAACAUUCUGGUUAACCGGUGGACGUUCUAAGUUCAGCAUAGAAGCAUAGUUAUCUGUACAUAAGCGCAUUAUGAAACCAGUCCUGGCAGCCAAUCAUGGGGCAUGGAAGCGAAAAUCCCACAGAGCAAAGUUUGGAGCUCUUCAGCCAGGACCAAGCCAAGAGAAAUCCUCAGAAGGAUAGAAAACGCAACACAAUUACUACGUUAGAAACGAUGGGAUUCGUGAAAAUCUGUAGACAAACUGUGUCACAGUUAACGUGGCUGUGCAGCCAGUACAGUUCAAGACUAAAGGAUCAUCCCAUCUUGGUAGCCAGAGACCUACGUUCAAGCAAUUAGCCUCGCAAAGUCUAAAGAGAACAGACUUUCUACAUCGACCAGUUACAUCGACAAGUUGUCAGUGAGAAACACUUACACAUUGACGCCAAUGAAACAUAAUUUCGUACGGACGCCAUCCAAAGGGAUAGUUGUACACUUACCGAAUGUCUGUGUCGUGAAUGUGUUUUGAACAGACUGGGAAGAUACUAGAAAAAGAAAAAGAAGAUUCAGCAAGCCACUCUAAUAGUGUCCACGUUACUUGAUUCAUAUGGAAAAGACGAAGGAGACGAAUUCCGUGCGAGUUACUCAAAGGAGGUAGAUGCAAUCCAUUUUGAAACCCUAUGUCCAUCGGUGACCCAAAAACAAACGACGAUCGAGAGACCUCGUGAUAUUGCUUCUGACGUUGGUUUAGAAAAAAAAUCGCAGAUGCAAAACACGUGUCAAAGGAAAGAUCGAGAUGCAAAAGACGAAAUGACGCUGACCCUUCGAUGGUCAUCUGCAAGACUCGCUUCUUAUUAUUCCGUGCAAGCUGGCGAUGUGUUGAUGCAAGAUGAAGUUGAUGUAGAAGUACCAAGGAAACGACAAGAGUUGGCAAACAAAUGCAAGAGAAAUCCUCAUGGACACUCUGCUGCUGCGAGGACAGCAAUGUCGGACAAAAAAGUUAUGAGUCAAGUCAUAUUGACCAGGCUGUCACUGCAGUUCCACUCCUGGGCGCCGUCUCACUACUGCGCGCCACGGAGACAACCUAACCUCAACCUAACUCCAACCUAACCUCAACGAUCGUCAUCUUUUGAACGUCAUUAGGCGAGUAACUAUUCUCGAUCGUAUUAUGUCUGGAAUAUUAUUAUCUGGCCAAUCUCUUAAUGUGCUCAUGCAUGUGUUUGCACGUGCAAGCAGAUGAACACACUGUCGCUCAAUUAGUCUCAUUAAUUAGAAGUAACAUUUGGGGCAAGAUGGGACAUUUCGGUGAACACUAACUUUUAGAUAAAAUGGACGUACGGAUGGAGGACAGAGCGACAAUGUUGGACCGGAGAAUGAACACGGAUGGCUGUUGAAGCAACUGCACGGAAGCAAUGGGCCGUCGUAAAGCAGUUGCAGCUUUUAAUGUCCUGAAAACUGCAUUGGACAGGAAGGUGGAUCCCUGUCGAGAAAGUCCUCGACAGUUGUUGAAGACUAGUUUAGAACCUUCCCAAAGUGUAUUUUCACUGGAGGAGGAGGAAGUAUUAGUAUUUCAUUUGAGAGAAAUGGAGGACCUGUUAUUUGGUUAACAACAAUUAAUAGCAAUUUGUGCACCCCAUUGUGCAUUCUUUUCAUGUCAAGUUUUGAAAGUUUAUUUUAAGAUAUUUCGAUAAACAGAUAUUGGUGCUAGACACAACAUUUUUUGUAAAUGCAACACCAGUGGUACAUAUAGUAUGUUAGAGCAAUUCUUUCUGUAGCGUUCUCAUCUUGUCUUUCCUCUGAAUUUCCUGAAUUAAAAUAUGAAACUUCUGCAAAUGUUCACUCUUUUCAAACACUAGGACAAUUUUAUGGCAGCAAGUUUUAUGGCAGUUAUUUCAUAUAGAGUCACGAAAAACUAGUUUAAGAGUGCACUUACAAGUUUAUUAAUUUUGAAGUCUGCGACAAUGUUGAGAAUUGUUUAAUCAAUUGGGAAAAUGCAGAGAAUUAGAAAAUAUGGAGACAGAAAUUAUUUUGACUAAAUACGUGACAUUUUAAAGAAACCGUGUUUGAUCAAAAUUUCAUUGUCAAAAAUGAACCACCACUGGAGUGAUAUAAAAAUUGUGUAAAAAUAAAAAAUUUGUAUUCUCUUA